UACAGAGGUCUCAAGCGUUGCUCGGAUUCAUUGGGCGUAAAGGGUGCGUAGGUGGCGCGGUAAGUCGGGUGUGAAAUCUCGGAGCUUAACUCCGAAAUUGCAUUCGAUACUGCCGUGCUUGAGGACUGGAGAGGAGACUGGAAUUUACGGUGUAGCGGUGAAAUGCGUAGAUAUCGUAAGGAAGACCAGUGGCGAAGGCGGGUCUCUGGACAGUUCCUGACGCUGAGGCACGAAGGCCAGGGGAGCAAACGGG
rnacentral:rRNA from 1 species